GCGUUGUCCGGAAUCACUGGGCGUAAAGGGCGCGUAGGUGGCGACCCAAGUCGAUGGUGAAAGCUCGCCGCUCAACGGCGAGUCGGCCACCGAUACUGGGUUGCUGGAGCACUGUAGAGGCAGAUGGAAUUCCGGGUGUAGCGGUGGAAUGCGUAGAGAUCCGGAAGAACACCGGUGGCGAAGGCGGUCUGCUGGGCAGUUGCUGACACUGAGGCGCGACAGCGUGGGGAGCAAACAGG
rnacentral:rRNA from 1 species